CAGAAAUUGCCAACUGGGAAGAGGCACUCAGCAGCAUCUGAUUCAUGAUGAUGUAGUCUUAAUACAGCACUUUGUGGAAAGUCUUUCAGAUCAUGAAGAAUCAAUCUUCUUAUUCCUUUGCUGAGGUACCAGAUGUGUCAGGAAGAGGAGUUGGAAAACUUCACAUGUGAAUGCUGAAACCCAUCAAGAAUAGCCAACUUCUUCAGGA